rnacentral:rRNA from 1 species
AGCUAUGAAUGAAAGUUCGACUAAGCUAUAUUAAACAAGGGUUGGUAAAUUUCGUGCCAGCCACCGCGGUCAUACGAUUAACCCAAACUAACAGACCCACGGCGUAAAGCGUGUUAUAGAGAAAAUAAAACCAUACUAAAGUUAAACCUUAACUAGGCUGUAAAAAGCUACAGUUAACAUAAAAAUACAGCACGAAAGUAACUUUAAUAUCUCCGAUUACACGAUAGCUAAGACCCAAACUGGGAUUAGAUACCCCACUAUGCUUAGCCCUAAACCUAGAUAGUUAACCUAAACAAAAUUAUCCGCCAGAGAACUACUAGCAACAGCUUAAAACUCAAAGGACUUGGCGG